UAUUUUUUAUAUGGUUUUAAUCAGGCUGUUGGAGUUUGAAAAGAGCAAAAUUUACUGAAUGGGAAUUUGUUUGAAUGUACACUUGUACACAUUGCCAUAAUGACAAGAGUUUUGUGUCUACUUUUGAACUCAAAGUGGACACCAAACCCUUUACAUAAAGGAAUCGAUUUUACUGCUGAGCAGAACUUUUUAACCAAAUUUCCUCGUUUCCAAUUAAAUUUUAUGUGUUGUUUAAAUAGAAAGAUUUCUCUCAUCGCAUCAAAGUACUUUUUUGAAUUAUUAUUUGUUUAUGAUAUUAUAUUGAAAUAGUUCUAAUUGGCAUUUGAUUUGAUUGCCAUUUAAACAAGAAAUACUGUAAAAUAAAUUCAAAUAAAUCAUGUAAAUAAUUCUCAUACAGUUAUAUGUAUAAAAAUCUUAUAGGCAUACAAAUAUGAUUGUAAUGAUUUUAAAAAAAUUAUAUAGCCAUACAAAAUUUGCAUGUUUUUGUUUAUAAGUGGAAAAUAUUUUUCACUCUUACGUAUUGCAAGUCUUCCAUUAAGAGAAACUCUUUUUGUCACUGAUUUGUUUUUUUCCAAUCAUACAUUCCUUGAACAUCUGUUUGGUCUAUGGAGCAAUUUGUAAACAUAAUGAAAAUAUUUUUUUUAAAUAAUGUGUUUCUGAUUUUGUUUUUGAAAAAAAAAAUACUGGCAUGAUUUUCUACAUUAUUACUUGUAACUGUGAAUUUCAUAUCUUCUAAAUAGAUUAUUUGAAAAAUGUAUAAUUUUGAUUUUUUAUGAAAUUUUAAUUUGAAAUUAUGGACUAAAUCAUUAUUUAAACUGCCAAGUUACAAGUUCCGAGACCAGCAGAGCUUCAUUUGUGUCUGACAAUAAUUGUUUGUAAAAGUGCACAACUUGUUUUGGUUAAUUUCGCAAUAUUUGUUGUCUAGUGUAACCAAAUACAUGUACUAUUAACAUUAUUAUUAUUACUAUUGAUUUUAAUUAAACAAUAAACGAUGCAAAUUAC
rnacentral:misc_RNA from 1 species